UUUUCGCGUCUGAGAUUGAGCCGGACGUCCUAGUAGUCUUAUGUCCUCUGCUUCAAACUGCGGUUUUUCAGAACCGUCGGUCGAGCCACUUUUCUCGGACCUCGGUUUUCUCAUCUUCUGGAGUCCAGAACCCUGAAAUAAGCACCAGUAAAUGAAAUCAAGGUGUGGGAGGACCAUGUUCUAUGCAGAGGCUGCAGGGAUGGCCUGUUCCUCACCUCUUCAUCUACAAGUGGCUGCUGUAAUUCCUUGGUUCCUGCUUGAGUUCCUGCCCUGGCUUCCCUUGAUGAAGAACUAUACUGCAAGCCAAAAU